GAUCAGCAAGGUUAGAACAUCUAACUUGCAAGGUAAUAGAUCUGAUCUAUUGUUUAUUACAUACAUUAGAUGUAGCAUAGAAACAUGUUGAUAUGAUCAACAUGUAGUUCAUUCUCUAUAUGUUUUAAUUUCUGGUUUAAUGCCAUGUAAUAAUCAUAUAAUAGGAUCUUAGAUCUAAAGAUUCUAUGAUUUUAUAAAAUAAAUUUUGAUUUAUUUUAGUCUUCCGCUGCAUGAUCUUGAAAAAGUUUCAAGAUCUAACCCUGAAACUCUAGAUCUGGUUCCUUCAAUCUGAUGGAGGUUCUGCCAGAUUUUGGAAUAAGCAUUGCAGGUAUUCUUCUAUAGCUUAAAUUUUAUUAUAAAUAUAUUAUAUAUAAUUGUUAAUUAUCAAAGAGAUACUAGUUUAAGGGUUUAAUAAUUAGAAUUUUUUAGUUUAAAUUUUUGAAAUCUAUUAUGCUUCCGCUGUGCAUGUCCACCCCGACACCCUAUAGUAGUAUCAGAGUAGGCCUUCUUUGGUUCAAUCAUAUAUACAUAAUGUUUAUGUGAUCUAUAUUAUGAUUCAUGAUGUAAAAUUAAUUAUGCCAUGAAUUUUGCUUUUAUAUGAUGAUAUGAAUUGAUGCACCACUUCAUCAUCCUGAUAUAAAGUUGUCCUAGCAUAAUGGGAUUAUGCUAUAAGGUUGUCCUAGGAUAAUGAAUGUCCAUUGUUAUACUGACACAUAUAGAAUAUUUUAAUACUGAUAUAUAUUAGAUGAAUUAGCAUUAUAUAGUUAGAAUGUACAUGAGAUCAAAGAAGUCCUCAUAAAAAUUAUAUUAAGUGAUAGUGAUAAGCAACAAUGGGUUAACCAAUUCUUGAUCAAUUGGUAUUUAGAAAAGUACUAAAGGUGGUUCUUUAAUUAGUUUCGUUGACUGAUCUAGCUAAUUUAUUGAUGUCUAAGCAAAGUAAUGGGGGGAUCUCCACCUACUUACCUAACCAAUUUGGUUAAGUGAUUUUGAUAUUGAAAAAUUCUAAUAUUGACAACACUACUAGGGGCCUUCCUUCAUAGUAGGUUAGUAUUACAUCAUGAAUUAUGGUGAGCUUAUUGAGUUACCACAAGACUUGUCAUAAAGACUGAUAUAAUAUAAUCUUGGUGCAUAAAAGAUGCUUACGGUA
rnacentral:lncRNA from 1 species